UACGGGGGGGGCAAGCGUUGUUCGGAAUUACUGGGCGUAAAGCGCACGUAGGCGGCUUUGUAAGUUAGAGGUGAAAGCCCAGGGCUCAACCCUGGAAUUGCCUUUAAGACUGCAUCGCUUGAACAUCGGAGAGGUAAGUGGAAUUCCGAGUGUAGAGGUGAAAUUCGUAGAUAUUCGGAAGAACACCAGUGGCGAAGGCGACUUACUGGACGAUUGUUGACGCUGAGGAACGAAAGCGUGGGGAGCGAACAGG
rnacentral:rRNA from 1 species